rnacentral:rRNA from 1 species
AGAGUUUGAUCAUGGCUCAGGAUGAACGCUAGCGGCAGGCUUAAUACAUGCAAGUCGUGGGGCAGCAGGGGUAGCAAUACUCGCUGGCGACCGGCAAACGGGUGCGGAACACGUACACAACCUUCCUUAAAGUGGGGAAUAGCCCAGGGAAACUUGGAUUAAUACCCCGUAAUAUUAUUAGAUGGCAUCAUUUGAUAAUUAUAGCUCCGGCGCUUAAAGAUGGGUGUGCGGCUGAUUAGGUAGUUGGCGGGGUAACGGCCCACCAAGCCUACGAUCAGUAACUGGUGUGAGAGCACGACCAGUCACACGGGCACUGAGACACGGGCCCGACUCCUACGGGAGGCAGCAGUAAGGAAUAUUGGUCAAUGGACGCAAGUCUGAACCAGCCAUGCCGCGUGGAGGAUGAAGGUCCUCUGGAUUGUAAACUUCUUUUAUCUGGGAAGAAACCCAAGGUUUCUACUUUGGUUGACGGUACCAGAUGAAUAAGCACCGGCUAACUCCGUGCCAGCAGCCGCGGUAAUACGGAGGGUGCAAGCGUUAUCCGGAUUCACUGGGUUUAAAGGGUGCGUAGGUGGGCUAGUAAGUCAGUGGUGAAAUCUCCGGGCUUAACCCGGAAACUGCCAUUGAUACUAUUAGUCUUGAAUGUCGUGGAGGUAAGCGGAAUAUGUCAUAUAGCGGUGAAAUGCUUAGAUAUGACAUAGAACACCGAUAGCGUAGGCAGCUUGCUACACGAAUAUUGACACUGAGGCACGAAAGCGUGGGGAUCAAACAGGAUUAGAUACCCUAGUAGUCC